UACGUAGGGUGCAAGCGUUGUCCGGAAUUAUUGGGCGUAAAGAGCUCGUAGGCGGUUUGUUGCGUCGGCUGUGAAAUCCCGAGGCUCAACCUCGGGUCUGCAGUCGAUACGAGCAAACUAGAGUGUUGCAGGGGAGACUGGAAUUCCCGGUGUAGCGGUGAAAUGCGCAGAUAUCAGGAGGAACACCGGUGGCGAAGGCGGGUCUCUGGGCAACAACUGACGCUGAGGAGCGAAGCGUGGGGAGCGAACAGGA
rnacentral:rRNA from 1 species